GAUGAACGCUGGCGGCGUGCCUAAUACAUGCAAGUCGAGCGAACGGACGAGAAGCUUGCUUCUUUGAUGUUAGCGGCGGACGGGUGAGUAACACGUGGAUAACCUACCUAUAAGACUGGGAUAACUUCGGGAAACCGGAGCUAAUACCGGAUAAUAUUUUGAACCGCAUGGUUCAAAAGUAAAAGACGGUCUUGCUGUCACUUAUAGAUGGAUCCGCGCUGCAUUAGCUAGUUGGUAAGGUAACGGCUUACCAAGGCAACGAUGCAUAGCCGACCUGAGAGGGUGAUCGGCCACACUGGAACUGAGACACGGUCCAGACUCCUACGGGAGGCAGCAGUAGGGAAUCUUCCGCAAUGGGCGAAAGCCUGACGGAGCAACGCCGCGUGAGUGAUGAAGGUCUUCGGAUCGUAAAACUCUGUUAUUAGGGAAGAACAUAUGUGUAAGUAACUGUGCACAUCUUGACGGUACCUAAUCAGAAAGCCACGGCUAACUACGUG
rnacentral:rRNA from 1 species